GAUGAACGCUGGCGGAGUGCCUAAUACAUGCAAGUCGAGCGAAUAGACGAGGAGCUUGCUCCGCUGACGUUAGCGGCGGACGGGUGAGUAACACGUGGAUAACCAACCUAUAAGACUGGGAUAACUUCGGGAACCCGGAGCUAAUACAGGAUAAUCUAUUGAAGCGCAUGGUUCAAUAGUGAAAGACGGUUUUAGUGGCACUUGUAGAGGGAUCCGCGCCACAUUAGCUAGUUGGUAAUGUAACGGCUUACCAAGGCACCGAUGCGUAGCAGACCUGAGAGGGUGAUCGGCCCAACUGGAAUCGAGACACGGUCCAGACUCCAACGGGAGGCAGCAGUAGGGAAGCUUCCGCAAUGGGCGAAGGCCUGACGGAGCAACGCCGCGUGAGUGAUGAAGGUCUUCGGAUCGUAAAACUCUGUUAUUAGGGAAGAACAAAUGUGUAAGUAACUAUGCACGUCUUGACGGUACCUAAUCAGAAAGCCACGGCUAACUACGUG
rnacentral:rRNA from 1 species